AAAAAAAAUCCCCCCAAAUGACAAAAAAUUGGGCAAAAUAUGAAGGGCGCCCCAGGCCUGGCUCGCUCCCAGGGUCCCCCCGUGUCCCCACGUCCUGCAGGUGGCAGGCACAGGCAGCCCCGUGGGGGGACCCGGUGGUGGGGGGACAGUGACCCCAUCCGUGCCCCUGUCCCCCCAAGCCCCCGGCCCCACUGCAGCCCCACGGGGAGGCCAUGGGGCGGCAUCCUCCAUGGUCCCGGGGCGGCCGAGCGGGGCCGUCUGGCCAGCCCCGACUUUAUGGGCUGCCGAAACAUUUUCCUUAUGAAUCAUCCGAGACUUUUCUAAUUCUUUCCUGAUGGCUUUUGCAGAUCCCAGAGCCGGGUCCCCCCCCUCCUCUCCCCUCCUCUCCCCCCCUUCGCCGCUUUCUCCCGCGCUCUUUCCCCACUUUUCCCUUCCCUGCCUCCUCCUCCUCCUCUUCCCCUUCUUCCCCUGCUCCCUCCUUCCCCGCCGGCUCCUCUCCACCCUUCCCUCCCUCCGUGCUCUUGGCAGGACGCCCCAACUCUCCGUGCCGCCACGGACCCACUAAAACUCCUUCACCCCCUCCCAACCCCAUUUCCACCACCACCCCCCCCACAGCACACCCCAACACACUUUUUCCUCCUUUUUUUUUUUUUGGUUCCCAACUUCUAAUUUCCCAACUUCUUCCCCUUGGCUCCGCAUGCCAACCGCCCCUUGAUCCUUCCCUGACCCACAGCAGCAGGACCGAGCGUCGAAGAUGCCACCCGACCCCACCAUGUCCCCCCACCCCCGCAUCCCCCCGCAAGGCGCUGAGGACCCACUGCCACCGCCAGCUACUUACUGUCUUCUUCUCCUUGCCCGCGGGUUGGGGUCAUACGGGGCCGAUCCGACUCUGGAGCUCCCAAUCCAGACCCCAGCAGAAACUUCCUACUGCCCUUUGCCCACUCCUUCGCCUCCCCUUAUAUACGAUGCGCCGGCGGCGAGAGGUGGGACCCAUCGCAACCGGGGAAUUUUGGACGGCCCCUCGGCCAAUCAGCGGCACCCAGCAAGUCGGGGGGCACCCCUCGCACCCCCACCCCCACACACACCUCCCCCCCCCUCUCCUUGUCCAUCCCCUCUGUUCAUGCACACGCAUACACAGACAUGCACACGCGUGUUGUCCCCAAGCGGGGCUGGUGGUGGGGUGGAUGGGAAGGGGAU
rnacentral:lncRNA from 1 species